UGAUUUAAUACCAGGAGUUAGUGGUUAGAUGGUCAAGUUUGCACCCAAGAGCAACCCUCCACCUCCUUUUGGCCAAUGUUUGCACCCAAGAGAAGGGUGUGGUGGGCUUCAUAGAAACUCUUGGUUAUAGGUGUAGUGGAGGGGAAUAACAAGAGAUGGGGACUGAAUAGGUGUUACCCCAGGAAGCAGGGUGAGGAAAAGGGGACUUGAUUCCAAGACACACCUUCCUUUUGUUCUUCCAGCUAAGGCAGCCUAAUGAAAUCCUUGCUUACCAGAUGCCAGGUCAAGGAGGAUAACAGCCAAGCACCUCUUCAGCCUUCCUCUUUUCAGAGAGGUUGGUCAGAGAGAAAUGAUGUGAAGUGAUGGAGCAACCAGACCACUCCAAGAAGAAGUUGCAAAAGGAGGGAAAGAUGGCAUUUUGCAAGA
rnacentral:lncRNA from 1 species